rnacentral:rRNA from 1 species
UACGUAGGGGGCAAGCGUUGUCCGGAUUUAUUGGGCGUAAAGAGCGUGUAGGCGGCCAGACAGGUCAGCUGUGAAAACUCGAGGCUCAACCUCGAGAUGUCGGUUGAAACCGUCUGGCUAGAGUCCGGAAGAGGAGAGUGGAAUUCCCGGUGUAGCGGUGAAAUGCGCAGAUAUCGGGAAGAACACCUAUGGCGAAGGCAGCUCUCUGGGACGGUACUGACGCUGAGACGCGAAAGCGUGGGGAGCGAACAGG